rnacentral:rRNA from 1 species
GACGAACGCUGGCGGCGUGCUUAACACAUGCAAGUCGAACGGAAAGGCCCUGCUUUUGUGGGGUGCUCGAGUGGCGAACGGGUGAGUAACACGUGAGUAACCUGCCCUUGACUUUGGGAUAACUUCAGGAAACUGGGGCUAAUACCGGAUAGGAGCUCCUGCUGCAUGGUGGGGGUUGGAAAGUUUCGGCGGUUGGGGAUGGACUCGCGGCUUAUCAGCUUGUUGGUGGGGUAGUGGCUUACCAAGGCUUUGACGGGUAGCCGGCCUGAGAGGGUGACCGGCCACAUUGGGACUGAGAUACGGCCCAGACUCCUACGGGAGGCAGCAGUGGGGAAUAUUGCACAAUGGGCGGAAGCCUGAUGCAGCAACGCCGCGUGCGGGAUGACGGCCUUCGGGUUGUAAACAGCUUUCGACUGUGACGAAGCGUGAGUGACGGUAAUGGGUAAAGAAGCACCGGCUAACUACGUG